AUUGAACGCUGGCGGAAUGCUUUACACAUGCAAGUCGAGCGGCAGCACGGGGGCAACCCUGGUGGCGAGCGGCGAACGGGUGAGUAACACAUCGGAACAUGCCCAGUCGUGGGGGAUAACACUUCGAAAGAAGUGCUAAUACCGCAUACGUCCUGAGGGAGAAAGCGGGGGAUCGCAAGACCUCGCGCGAUUGGAGUGGCCGAUGUCAGAUUAGCUAGUUGGUGGGGUAAAGGCCUACCAAGGCAACGAUCUGUAGCUGGUCUGAGAGGAUGAUCAGCCACACUGGGACUGAGACACGGCCCAGACUCCUACGGGAGGCAGCAGUGGGGAAUUUUGGACAAUGGGGGCAACCCUGAUCCAGCCAUUCCGCGUGAGUGAAGAAGGCCUUCGGGUUGUAAAGCUCUUUCGGCAGGAACGAAACGGUGAGCUCUAACAUAGCUUGCUAAUGACGGUACCUGAAGAAGAAGCACCGGCUAACUACGUGCCAGCCGCCGCUGUAACAC
rnacentral:rRNA from 1 species